rnacentral:lncRNA from 1 species
GUUUGACCACGGGUAACUGAAGCCCAUCACCAGGGAGGGUACCAGCCCAAAUGGAUGCACACACACACACGUGAAGAAUCCUGCUGGGGAGAAGUGGAAGAAAAUGGGUCUUCAUCCUCAUCCUCAGGCUCAGACAACAUUUGUGAAGACACCAGUGUGGCUGAGGAGGUGGAUGGCUCCUCAUCCUGAGGCUCCGAGAUCAUUUCUGAAGAGGCCUGUGUGGCAGAGGAGGUGGAUGGCUCCUCAUCCUGAGGCUCCGAGAUCAUUUCUGAAGAGGCCUGUGUGGCCGAGGAGGUGGAUGGCUCCUCAUCCUGGCCAGUGCCA